rnacentral:lncRNA from 1 species
UUUCUUUCUUUCUUUGUAAUUACCCACCUACCUAUCUCCAUCUAUUGAAUUUUCGUUAAAAUAAUACAUGCAAAUGAUUAAAGACUCUUGAGAGUCCCUUGGACUGCAAGAUCAAACCGGUGAAUCCUAAAGGAAACAAACCCUGAAUAUUUAUUGGAAGGGCUGAUGCUGAAGCUCCAAUACUUAGGCCACCUGAUGUAAAGAGCUGAUUCACCGGAAAACAUCCUGAUGCUGGGAAACAUAGAAGGCAGGAGGAGAAGGGGAUGACAGAGGACGAGAUGAUUGGAUGGCAUCACUGACACAGUGGAGAUGAGUUUGAGCAAGCUCUGGGUGAUGGUGAAGGACAGGGAAGCCUGGGGUGCUGCAGUCCAUGGGGUCACACAGAGUCGGACAUGACUGAGUGACUGAACAAAAACGAAGUGCUUAUGAUAUAAAGCAACUUCCCCAAAGUCCUCAUUUCUAGUUCUGCACUGUGAAAGUGAAAGAAAGUGAAAGUGGAGUCGCUCAGUCGUGUCCAACUCUUUGCGACCCCGUGGACUGUAGCCUAUCAGGCUCCUCUGUCUGUGAGAUUCUCCAGGCAAGAAUACUGGAGUGGGUUGUCAUUUCCUUCUCCAGGGGAUCUUCCCAACCCAGGGGUCGAACCCGGGUCUGCUGUAUUGCAGGCAGAUGCUUUAUCCUCUGAGCCGCCAGGAAAGCCGAGCCGCGCUGUGAGAUUUUGAAAAAGGUAAAGACUAGAGGCAUAUUUGGGAAUGGUUUUGCAAUGGAUGUUAUUAGAAGAAAAAAGGAUGAAAGAUCCAUGUAGUACAUUUACAUGUAGAUGAAGAAGCAAAUCCGGAGACAAAAUGGAGAAGAGACCAGAUAAUUGGAAGAUUGUAAAGUCCACCAGGCAAGCCAAUAUCUGUUUCUUUUGCUGCUAUAUUUCUAAUAUCUAGAUUAGUCUAGGCAUAUAAUAGGCCCUCAGUAAAUG